rnacentral:rRNA from 1 species
CCUACGGGUGGCUGCAGUGAGGAAUAUUGGUCAAUGGACGAAAGUCUGAACCAGCCAAGCAGCGUGAAGGAUGACUGCCCUAUGAGUUGUAAACUUCUUUUAUAUGAGAGUAAAAUGUUCCACGUGUGGGAUUUUGUAUGUACCAUAUGAAUAAGGAUCGGCUAACUCCGUGCCAGCAGCCGCGGUAAUACGGAGGAUCCAAGCGUUAUCCGGAUUUAUUGGGUUUAAAGGGAGCGUAGGCGGAUUGUUAAGUCAGUUGUGAAAGUUCGCGGCUCAACCUUAAAAUUGCAGUUGAAACUGGCAGUCUUGAGUACAGUAGAGGUGGGCGGAAUGCGUGGUGUAGCGGUGAAAUGCUUAGAUAUCACGAAGAACUCCGAUUGCGAAGGCAGCUCACUGGACUGCAACUGACACUGAGGCUCGAAAGUGUGGGUAUCAAACAGGAUUAGAUACCCGGGUAGUC